GACGAACGCUGGCGGCGUGCUUAACACAUGCAAGUCGAACGGAAAGGCCUGCUUUCCCUUGUGGUUUGCGGGUACUCGAGUGGCGAACGGGUGAGUAACACGUGAGUGAUCUGCCCCCAACUUGGGUAUAAGCCUGGGAAACUGGGUCUAAUUCCCGAUAGGACUGCAGGGUGGUGCCUGUGGUGGAAAACGAUUUUCUAGUGGUUGGGGAUGAGCUGUCGGCCUAUCAGCUUGUUGGUGGGGUAAUGGCCGACCAAGGCGGCGACGGGUAGCCGGCCGGUGAGGGUGGACAGCGGCAUUGGGACUGGGUCACGGCCCCGACGGCAGCGGGAGGCAGGAGUGGGGAAUAUUGGGGCAGGGGCGGGAGCCUGACGCACCGACGGUGCGUGGGGGAUGUCGGCCUUCGGGUGCUAAACUCCUUUCGAGCGCGAGGAAGACACCUGGUUGGAAGGGUGGUGACGGUAGUGGUAGAAGAAGCACCGGCUAACUACGUG
rnacentral:rRNA from 1 species